GAUGAACGCUGGCGGCGUGCCUAAUACAUGCAAGUCGAGCGAACGGACGAGAAGCUUGCUUUUCUGAUGUUAGCGGCGGACGGGUGAGUAACACGUGGAUAACCUACCUAUAAGACUGGGAUAACUUCGGGAAACCGGAGCUAAUACCGGAUAAUAUUUUGAACCGCAUGGUUCAAAAGUGAAAGACGGUCUUGCUGUCACUUAUAGAUGGAUCCGCGCUGCAUUAGCUAGUUGGUAAGGUAACGGCUUACCAAGGCAACGAUGCAUAGCCGACCUGAGAGGGUUAUCGGCCACACUGGACCUGAGACACGGUCCAGACUCCUACGGGAGGCAGCAGUAGGGAAUCUUCCGCAAAGGGCGAAAGCCUGACGGAGCAACGCCGCGUGAGUGAUGAAGGUCUUCGGAUCGUAGAACUCUGUUAGUAGGGAAGAACAUAUGUGUAAUUAACUUUGCACAUCUUGACGGUACCUAAUCAGAAAGCCACGGCUAACUACGUG
rnacentral:rRNA from 1 species